UACGUAGGGUGCAGGCGUUAUUCGGAAUUACUGGGCGUAAAGCGUGCGCAGGCGGUUUGCUAAGUCAGGUGUGAAAUCCCCGGGCUUAACCUGGGAACUGCGCUUGUAACUGGCAAGCUAGAGUGUGGCAGAGGGGGGUGGAAUUCCACGUGUAGCAGUGAAAUGCGUAGAGAUGUGGAGGAACACCGAUGGCGAAGGCAGCCGCCUGGGCUAACACUGACGCUCAGGCACGAAAGCGUGGGGAGCAAACAGG
rnacentral:rRNA from 1 species